rnacentral:rRNA from 1 species
GCCAGUGGCGGCGUGCUAUACAUGCAGUCGAACGAGUUCUGAUUAUUGAAAGGUGCUUGCAUCUUGAUUUAAUUUUGAACGAGUGGCGGACGGGUGAGUAACACGUGGGUAACCUGCCCUUAAGUGGGGGAUAACAUUUGGAAACAGAUGCUAAUACCGCAUAAAUCCAAGAACCGCAUGGUUCUUGGCUGAAAGAUGGCGUAAGCUAUCGCUUUUGGAUGGACCCGCGGCGUAUUAGCUAGUUGGUGAGGUAACGGCUCACCAAGGCAAUGAUACGUAGCCGAACUGAGAGGUUGAUCGGCCACAUUGGGACUGAGACACGGCCCAAACUCCUACGGGAGGCAGCAGUAGGGAAUCUUCCACAAUGGACGCAAGUCUGAUGGAGCAACGCCGCGUGAGUGAAGAAGGCUUUCGGGUCGUAAAACUCUGUUGUUGGAGAAGAAUGGUCGGCAGAGUAACUGUUGUCGGCGUGACGGUAUCCAACCAGAAAGCCACGGCUAACUACGUGCCAGCAGCCGCGGUAAUACGUAGGUGGCAAGCGUUAUCCGGAUUUAUUGGGCGUAAAGCGAGCGCAGGCGGUUUUUUAAGUCUGAUGUGAAAGCCCUCGGCUUAACCGAGGAAGUGCAUCGGAAACUGGGAAACUUGAGUGCAGAAGAGGACAGUGGAACUCCAUGUGUAGCGGUGAAAUGCGUAGAUAUAUGGAAGAACACCAGUGGCGAAGGCGGCUGUCUGGUCUGUAACUGACGCUGAGGCUCGAAAGCAUGGGUAGCGAACAGGAUUAGAUACCCUGGUAGUCCAUGCCGUAAACGAUGAAUGCUAGGUGUUGGAGGGUUUCCGCCCUUCAGUGCCGCAGCUAACGCAUUAAGCAUUCCGCCUGGGGAGUACGACCGCAAGGUUGAAACUCAAAGGAAUUGACGGGGGCCCGCACAAGCGGUGGAGCAUGUGGUUUAAUUCGAAGCAACGCGAAGAACCUUACCAGGUCUUGACAUCUUUUGAUCACCUGAGAGAUCAGGUUUCCCCUUCGGGGGCAAAAUGACAGGUGGUGCAUGGUUGUCGUCAGCUCGUGUCGUGAGAUGUUGGGUUAAGUCCCGCAACGAGCGCAACCCUUAUGACUAGUUGCCAGCAUUUAGUUGGGCACUCUAGUAAGACUGCCGGUGACAAACCGGAGGAAGGUGGGGAUGACGUCAAAUCAUCAUGCCCCUUAUGACCUGGGCUACACACGUGCUACAAUGGAUGGUACAACGAGUUGCGAGACCGCGAGGUCAAGCUAAUCUCUUAAAGCCAUUCUCAGUUCGGACUGUAGGCUGCAACUCGCCUACACGAAGUCGGAAUCGCUAGUAAUCGCGGAUCAGCACGCCGCGGUGAAUACGUUCCCGGGCCUUGUACACACCGCCCGUCACACCAUGAGAGUUUGUAACACCCGAAGCCGGUGGCGUAACCCUUUUAGGGAGCGAGCCGUCUAAGGUGACAAAAUU